rnacentral:misc_RNA from 1 species
GCAAACUUGGUCAUUUAGAGGAAGUAAAAGUCGUAACAAGGUUUCCGUAGGUGAACCUGCGGAAGGAUCAUUACAGAGUGCGAGGCUCAGUCGUGGCGUCUGCUGCGUGCUGGGCCGACCCUCCCACCCGUGUCGAUUUGUAUCUUGUUGCUUUGGCGGGCCGGGCCGCGUCGUCGCUGCCCGCAGGGACAUGCGUCGGCCGCCCACCGGUUACGACUGGAGCGUGCCCGCCAAAGACCUAACCAAAACUCAUGUUGUUUGUGUCGUCUCAGCUUUAUUAUGAAAAUUGAUAAAACUUUCAACAACGGAUCUCUUGGCUCUGGCAUCGAUGAAGAACGCAGC